rnacentral:sRNA from 1 species
GCCUAGCCCUGAUAAUAGCGGCAUCCUUUUUCUUUUUUUUUCUUUAAAAAAAGAAAAAGAUAUAGCGGAUAGCAGGAUAUUGC